rnacentral:ncRNA from 2 species
AGUCUCGACCCCGGAAUCGGUUCCACCGAAAGGUGGAUGAAAAGGGAACACGGUGAGGCCGAAGGCCAAAUCCGCGACUGCCCCCGCAACUGUAACCGUUGAGCCUCUUCCAUCAUGCCACUGAACGCAUUCGUGCGUUCGGGAAGGCGGAAGAAGGCUAUGACACGGAAGUCAGGAGACCUGCCCGUUCCGGUCACCCAUG